rnacentral:rRNA from 1 species
UAGUUCGGGAUAGCCACUGGAAACGGUGAUUAAUACCGGAUACUCCUUCUUGUUAUAAGACAAGUCGGGAAAGUUUUUCGCUAAGGGAUCAGUCUAUGUUCCAUCAGCUUGUUGGCGAGGUAAUGGCUCACCAAGGCUAUGACGGAUAUCUGGUUUGAGAGGAUGAUCAGACACACUGGGACUGAGACACGGUCCAGACUCCUACGGGAGGCAGCAGUGAGGAAUAUUGCACAAUGGAGGAAACUCUGAUGCAGCAACGCCGCGUGGAGGAUGACGCAUUUCGGUGUGUAAACUCCUUUUAUUAGGGAAGAUAAUGACGGUACCUAAUGAAUAAGCACCGGCUAACUCCGUGCCAGCAGCCGCGGUAAUACGGAGGGUGCAAGCGUUACUCGGAAUCACUGGGCGUAAAGGGUGCGUAGGCUGGCUUUUAAGUCAGAUGUGAAAUCAAAUGGCUCAACCAUUGAACUGCAUUUGAAACUGAAAGCCUAGAGUUCAGAAGGGGCAGAUGGAAUUAGUGGUGUAGGGGUAAAAUCCGUAGAUAUCACUAGGAAUAUCAAAAGCGAAGGCGAUCUGCUGGGAUGAUACUGAC